UUCUCACCGCAACCGCUCAAAUCAGGCAACAACGGGUUUUUUUAAGCCGGCCUGCAAUGGCGAGUCUAGGGUAUGGG
rfam:Desulfosporosinus acidiphilus SJ4, complete genome.